rnacentral:rRNA from 1 species
GAUGAACGCUGGCGGCGUGCCUAAUACAUGCAAGUCGAGCGAACAGACGAGGAGCUUGCUCCUCUGACGUUAGCGGCGGACGGGUGAGUAACACGUGGAUAACCUACCUAUAAGACUGGGAUAACUUCGGGAAACCGGAGCUAAUACCGGAUAAUAUAUUGAACCGCAUGGUUCAAUAGUGAAAGACGGUUUUGCUGUCACUUAUAGAUGGAUCCGCGCCGCAUUAGCUAGUUGGUAAGGUAACGGCUUACCAAGGCAACGAUGCGUAGCCGACCUGAGAGGGUGAUCGGCCACACUUGAACUUAGACACGGUCCAGACUCCUACGGGAGGCAGCAGUAGGGAAUCUUCCGCAAUGGGCGAAAGCUUGACGGAGCAACGCCGCGUGAGUGAUGAAGGUCUUCGGAUCGUAAAACUCUGUUAUUAGGGAAGAACAAAUGUGUAAGUAACUAUGCACGUCUUGACGGUACCUAAUCAGAAAGCCACGGCUAACUACGUG